rnacentral:rRNA from 1 species
CUCGUAGCUUGCUAUGAGAACAAUUAGUGGCAGACGGGUGAGUAAUGCAUAGGAACCUACCUAGUAGUAUAGGAUAGCCACUAGAAAUGGUGGGUAAUACUGUAUAAUCCCUGCGGGGGAAAGAUUUAUCGCUACAUGAUGAGCCUAUGUUAGAUUAGCUAGUUGGUGGGGUAAUGGCCUACCAAGGCAGUGAUCUAUAGCUGGUCUGAGAGGAUGAUCAGCCACACUGGAACUGAGACACGGUCCAGACUCCUACGGGAGGCAGCAGUGGGGAAUAUUGGACAAUGGGCGCAAGCCUGAUCCAGCUAUGCCGCGUGAGUGAGGAAGGCCUUAGGGUUGUAAAACUCUUUCAGUGGGGAAGAUAAUGACGGUACCCACAGAAGAAGUCCCGGCAAACUCCGUGCCAGCAGCCGCGGUAAUACGGAGGGGGCAAGCGUUGUUCGGAAUUAUUGGGCGUAAAGGGCAUGUAGGUGGUUUGGUAAGUUAAAGGUGAAAUGCCAGGGCUUAACCCUGGAGCUGCUUUUAAUACUGCCAGACUGGAGUCCGGGAGA